CUUCCCUUUCCUUUUUUUUGCUACUUGUAUUUUCCUUUGUUUGUUAAGUAAAGCAGGAAAUAGAAAAUUAUUAUUAUGAUUAUCAAAUAGAAAGUGUUGGUAAUCUGUUAAUUUGAAAUGACAACUAUUUCUCCGUCUUCUUCCCUAUCCCUACAUCAUGUUCGCCAUGUAUCUUUCUCUCUUUCUCUCAUUUACAAUCUCUUUGGUUUGAUAAGCGUUUCAAUGGAAAUUAAUCAACCCUUUUUCCUUUUUUUUUCUCUAUCUCUUUUUCCUUACAGAUGAUGAUGGAAACAUGGAGCGUAGUAAUUGAAAUUUAUGUCAAUUGACUAUAAAUAAAGUACCCAGAGUAUGGAUACUUAAAUUCUGAUGGUUCAGUUUGCAUGAUCGUUUUGUAAGUCACCAGUUUGGGUUAACGGUGUGGUGAUUUUUUACUUGAUGAUUGGAUGGAAUCUCAUCUUUUGAAUGAAGUCAUCUUAUUUUCCUAUUACACGAGUAGAGAAAAAUAGAUAUAAGGAAAUUCAAUGGGAUGUACGUGCUGUUGAUAAUAGGAGAAGAAGAAGAAAAUCAUCUCUGUGAAGUGGAUUGAAGAACAAAAUGUUCAACAUGAAAAACAUCCAUUGAAAUUUUAUCUACCCAAUAGGACAGAGAAGUUAUGGUAAAAUACAAAGAGAAAACGAAUCAUCAUCAAGCAAGAGGUAAAAUUUGUUUCCCUCUCACUUCAAGCAAAGAGAAGAUGGAGAGAAAAAGUAGAGAACUACGAGACAAAACGAUAAGAAUAUCAAGAAAAAAGGAAAGAACUUUCGAGAUUGUGGUGAAGAUAAAAAAGAAAAGUUAACGAAGGAGCUAAAACGUCAUGUGCUUUAAUCAGUCUCUUUUCCCAGGUAUCCAGUUUUUCAACGGUAUUAAUAACUAGUAGCAAAAAAGACUUCCACUUCCAGCGGACCUUGAUUUGUUUCCACUAUAGCAACAACAUCACCAUCAAAAAAAAACAACAACAAUGUUUACCUUUAAGGCAUCAUAAUAACCUGGGCUACUUUUGCCGAUGAAAAAUGCUCCUAGGCGUGGAUCGUAAAGGAAAUAUAAACAUAUAAAAAAACUAAGUUGCAAUGAUGAAGAUCCUCUUCCCUCUCUCUUUCUCUCUCACUACAAAUGAGGGUCAAGGGAAUGGAAAAACGAUAACUUGUCAGUGGAAGAAACGAGAAAAAAAAGUAUUAGCUUCCAAUUUUCUCGGGAAUAUAAUACAUAAUGGACGAUGAUGAUGUUAUUAGUAAUAUAAUAACACUAAUAAUAAUUAUUGGAAAGCAAUGAUUCCUUAACUAUCAACCCAGCCAACUAACGUUCCCGUUACGAAUACCGGUUUGACCAGAUUUUGGUACAUAAAUAUCAGAGUGAAACGCAGUCAAUUUAAAUUUUAGGUAAAUGGUUAUUAUUGUGAUUGGGACACAUCAACAGGAUCACCUUCAUCAUCUUCAUCAAAAUCAACAAGGCUCAUGUUUACAAUGUCGCUUCCCUUUUUUUUAAUAUUCACCUAAAACUUUACCUCAUCGUCAAGUUAAUCAUCAUCAUGAUCAUCAACCAGAUCAACAUCAAUUAAUAACUAUGCCAGCAUUGAGCUCUCUUAACACUUGGCUGGAAAACCUUAUUUUUGGCUUAAAGGCUAACAAUUUAAUUCCUUUAAUUACUUUCGCUUCACCAUCAACAACAACAACAACAACAUCAACUGGGAUGCUUUUAAUGGCAGUAGAACAUUUCACUUUCAUUGGCACAUAAAAAACUCUCACUGACUUACUUUUCUUCAUCAUCAUCAUCAUUAUCAUCAUCUUUACCAUAUAAUCUCUUCUUCACCUUAAUUUUUUCUCUCUUUCUACUCUCAUUCUUACUCAAUUUUCUCACCAACUUGUUGCACUUUCUUUCCUCAUUUUCACAGUGUCUUGAGUAAGAGAAUCAACCAGUUUUCUCAUCUAUCACAAACCUCUCAUGAGCAACUAAUUUAAACAUUUAACUGUCAUCCAUUGGUUGAUUAUCAUGAUGAUCAUUCGUAAUAACGUUCCACCAGGAGGCAAAAUGGGUUAAACAAUUUACUAACCAUCAUCUCUAUCAUUUUAAUGGUCAGUGGUUGUUCCAGUUACUAUGAAAGGAAAGAAGGAAAAACAAAGCAAAAUAAAUUCGUAAACAAACUAAUCAUGUUGUUUGUUUGCUAUUACAAAUUAACAGGAACUGUGGAGAAAGAUUUAUUGUCAAAGGAACUAGAUGGUUUCACUAAAACUGCAACAAUUAAAACCGGAUGCUGUUAACUAAUUGUCAGGAGAAAGUUGUUUAAAUUGUUUCAAUAAGAUCGCAUGGAUAAAGUCAAUGAACGCUAUUGUUUUUUAUCGGUGACUCUCAUCAUCAUCUUUUUCCAAUCAUCAUCAUUCAUUAUCAUCUCUCUAUUUCUGGGUAAAAGGAGUCAUAAAUUUCACAUUUGAAGAAGGCAAAAUGAAAAGAUAAUUGUUUGCCAAAAAUUGAUUUUUCAAUCGAAUUGUUUCAACUCUUGCCAACACAAUCAGUUACAACAAUUAACUUAAUUGUGUAGUUUGCUGUUUAUAAUGAGAGUGAGGAGAAAAAAAGUUCAUUGAUAUUGAAAUUUUGUCUUUGUGAGAAGAAAAAAAAAAUCUAAUCCUCAAAACAUUAAUGUCAAUAAUUAACACUUAAUGUGAUUUACUGAUUUGUUCAUUGAACACAACAGAAAUUUUCUCAAUUUCUUCAUUAAUUCAACAAUAUAUAUAAGAUAAUUUGAAUACUAAAUUAACCUCGACAUGAAAAAAAAAGUUUAUUGAGGAAAAAAAUGUAAACAUAAAGAUGACCUUUGAUAGAAAGAAAAUUUCACUUUUUUUUAAUUCUAUUCAAUUAAUAGAUUGAUUUGAUUGUAGAAAACUAAUUAAUAAAUUGACCGAUAAACCUUGAUUGCACUUUCACCAUCAACAAUCAAUAGAAUCUCAACUGAUUAGGAGAUAAAGUUGAUCUUUUAUCAGGUAAGUAAAUAUCAAUUUUUAGCUCGAAAAUUAAUUUAAUUGUGAAACUGUUUCCCUAAUUGUUGUUAUGUAAACAAGUAAUUCAAUUCCCAAGUCAACUGGAUUAAUAAAUUGUCUCUCUCAAUAUCAUCAAUAUACUUAAUAAAGGUUAUGUGAUUCCAAUGAUUAACUUUUUAUUCAUUUGUUUGAUCAUCAUGAUGAUCAUAAUGAUCAGCAUAAUAAUCAUGAUUCCGAUUCACUCUAUUAAUAUUAAACUUUAAUUGUCUGUUUAUGUUGAUUGUGUGUGCGCUUACAUCAGUUGAUUUUAAUGAUCAUGUUUUUAAUCAUUAUGAUGAUAAUCAAAUUGAAGGUCAUCUCUAUCCCUCUCUUAUAAAUUUGUCAUCAACAUUGUGAUUAAACACUUUGAUACCUUGAUUUGGUCUAUCAAAUUACUUGAUUGUUACCUGUUGGUUGUUUUGUUCUGGUGCAAAUUAAUCCAGUUACUUUGUCGAUGGUCAAAUGGUGUCGGUUUUUUUUUCCACAAUCAAAUUGGUGAUGUUGGUGUUUCUCUUGUCAUCUCUUUCGUAGGAUGAUACAUAUCCUUUUAUUGUCGACCCACAAGUUGUUGCUAUUGAUUUGGUUACCAGAACGUUUCUCUAAUGGUUGUUCAAGCUGAGAAGAGGCAGUAAAAGUCAUAUACGAAUAUCUCAUGUUUAGAACCAAAAAAAAAACAAGAAAGGAAGACAAGACGUUAGAGAAACAGCUAAACAAAUGAAGUAAACAAGAAGAAGAGGAAAUGUUGGUAAAAAAAACAACAACAAACGAUGAUGAGUUCUGAGAAAUUCAUGGAAACGAGUGGAUUUAAAGUCAACCCGAACCUCUUAAUUGUUCCAGUCCAUUAUACUGAGAAACUUUGAUUAUCUGUUGGUGGUUGAUUAGUGUAAAUAAGCUAAUCCAUCGUGUUUGUCAUCAGUGUCACUGCGAUUAAUUAUUCAAUAACCAAUUGAGAUUAUUCAUCGCACAAUCAGAGUAAAUCUAAUUUCUAAUUGAAUUGUCAUAAGGAACAAUUAAUGGUCCAUUUUCUAGCCCUUGCUAAUUGCGAAAAUUGUAUUAGAUUUUUUCUGUUGCUAAGCGGUUCGAAUUAAUUAAUUUACGUUGUAUCAUAUUGUUGUCAUCAUCGUUUAUUAAUAGUUAAUUUAAUUCUAUUUCUUUGUUUUCAGAUCCAAGGUCAAUUUAACGCUAUUAGGGAAUAUCAUUAAGCCUGAUUGCAACAAUUAACAGAUUCCAUCAGUUGAUGAUCCCUAAAGGAAAGGAAAACUUGAUAAAUUUGAUUAACUUCUAAAUCCAUCUCAACAAUUAAACUCCAUAAUCUUAAUCUGAACAGUUUAAUUGAAAAUUAAAUGGAGUCUUAAAUUUGUGAUUAAAGUUAAUUGUUAAUCGUUGCUGGUGGAUGAUAAUGAUAAUCGUUAAUUGGUCGUUUAAUGUUAUAUCAAAAACAAUUAAAAGUUACCAAUUAAAUAACUUUCUCGUUCUGGAACAGUUUCAUCUUAAUUGUUGUGACAAUUAAACAAUUUUUCUUAGGAAAAAAAUUGGAUUGGAUUAGAUUGGAUCGUUAAUUGCUGCUAACGACAGGUUUAACAAUUUAACCUUGAAUUGACCAUAAUCAAAUUGACCUUGGAUUUGUUUUGAUAAUCAUCUUAAUCAGAGUGAUUAAGAAAAACCAAAUAAUCAACAACAACAACAAUCCAAACAAUUGAUAAUCCCAAAGCAAUCAACCAGUUGGACGUUUAAUCAAUUGAUCAAAAUACAAUCAAGUUUUACUCUACUGGUGACAAUUUUAUGAUCAGUGAAUUUAAUUGUGGAUUAAUAUUGAACAAUCAUAAUCACAAUUUAAUAAUAAGGUUCAAUUUAAACAAGGAAAGUUGAUUUAAGUGAAAAUAUAAAUAAUAAUCAACUUAAUCAGGUAAAAGAUUAAUUUAAAAGGUAAAAAGCAAAGGGUCAUUUAAUUCAUACACUCACACUAAACAGCAAUUAACUUUGAUUAAGUUAAUCAUUUUACUUUUUCCUGGUCAACAUGCAAAGAAGGUGCAAAAGGUCAAAAUGUAUAUAAAGUUUGAACUUGAUUUGAUUUUGAACAAUUGAAUUUAACAAUCAUAUUUAUAACACUAAUUAGAAACAAUUAAUUGUUAAUCAAUCUUCUCACCAACAACAAUUAAUUAUCUUUUCUUUUCAGAACGAUUUUUGGUUAUCUAAUUGUAAAUCAACAAAGUGAAAAUAAUUUAAUUGCAAACGGAAAAAUUGCUUUUUGCUCUGGACAAUUAAUCAAGACAAUCAAUUAAUUGUUACAUCAAAUUUUGCUUUUAAAACACAAUUCGUUGCAUGUUAAUUAACUUUACUGUUUUUCAGUUUUCUCUGAGUAAUUAAAUUUUACUCAGGAUUGUUAAGCUUAAUUACUGUUUUAUUAAUUGUAAUCAAUUUAGUAGUUCAUUGACUUUUUUGAUUGUUGUUAUAAAUCAUAAGCUCAACAAAGACGAAAAAUUUUAGCAAUUAAUAAAUUACUACUAUUAUAAUGUUUUAUAUUGUGGUUAAUUGUUAGCAACAAUUAGCCAUCUGAUGGUUUAUUGAAUUGAUUGCAAGGCUAAAUUGAAUAUUCAAGUAACAAUUUAAUUAAUUUCAGUGAUUCUUUGAAAAAAUAAGACAAAGAUUAUCUCAAUUAAUUGUCUUAAUCACUGUGAUAAUUGCGAUGUAAUUAGAAGCCAAAAAUUGUAUUUACAAAAUUGAUUCUCAUUGACAAUCUCAACAACAAUUAUCUAAUCAUGGGUAUUUAUAAAUCUAGUAAUUAACUAGUAAAGAUAAAGUAAAACUAAUCAACUAAUCAUCAAGCUAAAAAAUUAACACCAAAUGAGAUGAUUAUUAUGAUCGACGUAUUGUUUUGCCUGAUUGAGUUAAUUGUGAUACCAUAAUAAUAGAGAGACGACAAAAUUGAUGAAAAAUUGAAAAACAACAACUGGAGCCAACAAUUAGUUAAUCACAAUUACAUCACGUCGAGAGAUAGACAAGAACCAACAUGUUUGUACCAUAAUUGAUUAACAGUAAUCAAUGUUAUUCACAAUAAUAACAAUAUAACGAUCAGAACGAUGAUAAUUAUUAUCAUUACAUGGGCAACAUUACAUCAGGAAAAAAAAAUGAGUAUUAAAAAAAUAUCACAUGAUGAUAUCUCUCAAGUUACAGAGUUAUCAUCAUCAUCUCCAUUAUUAUUGAUUGCGAUUUGAAAGAAUCAGCAAUCAACUUGAAGCGUAAUAUUUACAACAU